rnacentral:rRNA from 1 species
AAUCACUGACCUUACCGUGGUUCCUACUUACGUGGGACCUUCGGGUAUUGUCAGCUCUUCUGAGUUGACGGGCGGUGAGUACAAAGCCCGAGAACGUAUUCACCGCAGCGUGGCUGAUCUGCGGUUACUAGCGAUUCCAGCUUCAUGGAGGCGAGUUGCAGCCUCCAAUCCGAACUGAGACUGGGUUUGUAGAUUAGCUCCCCCUCGCGGGUUUGCAUAGCUCAUUGUCCCAGCCAUUGUAGCGCGUGUGUCGCCCAGGGCGUCAGAGGACCACGCUGAUUUGACGUCAUCCCCACCUUCCUCCGUGUUAACCACGGCAGUCUCGGGUGAAAAGUAACACCCAAUAAGGGUUGCGCUCGUUACCCCACUGAAGGGAACACUUCACAGCACGAGCUGGCGACAACCGUGCAGCACCUGUCUAGCACCCUCGAAGGCUACCAAUGUUUCUANAGGUAUGCAGCUAGAUUUC